rnacentral:rRNA from 1 species
AACGAACGCUGGCGGCGGGGCUUAGGCAUGCAAGUCGAGCGAGAAAGCCGCAAGGCAAGUACAGCGGCGUAAGGGUGAGUAAUAGGUAGUUAACGUACCUUCGAGACGCGAAUAAUUCUCCGAAAGGGGUUGUAAUGCGCGAUGAGACCACGGUUCCUUCGGGAACAGGGGUCAAAGGUCGGGGAUCCUUCGGGACCUGGCGCUUGGGGGAGCGGACGACCUCCGAUUAGCUAGAUGGCGGGGUAACGGCCCACCAUGGCGAUGAUCGGUAGCCGGCCUGAGAGGGUGUUCGGCCACACUGGGACUGAGACACUGCCCAGACUCCUACGGGAGGCUGCAGUCGCGAAUCAUUCACAAUGAGCGCAAGCUUGAUGAUGCCACGCCGCGUGCGGGAUGAAGGCCCUUUGGGUUGUAAACCGCUGUCAAGUGGGGGAACCGUAGCGUGUUAACAGCGCGCUGCCUGACUGCCCG